CUCCGUGGCGCUUCCCCUUCGGGGCGAGAGCGCGCAGCGUGGGAGAGGCUAGCACUCCUCUCUCUGCCUAGGGGCGGUCGGCUCUGCCUGCCUGAGGCGGCCUGAGGUACGAACCCACGGCCUUGGGCUCCGCGCCUGCUGACCAGUUCAGGCCAGGCGGCCUGGGCCGUCAGUACCGCGCCCAGGCCAUACCGUGGAACGCCUCACCUCAGAGGCCGGAGCGCGGGACCCGCCUCCGAUACUUCGGGUUGCUUUGAGUUUUAGUCUCACAGAGCCAAGAAGCCUUCGUGAUCUGUCAGGCUUGAAAAAGAUCACUCGACUCUUGGGCAUACCUUUUGCCUUCCUUUUCAACCAUGACGCCAGGAACCCUCUCCCUCUUCUCACCUUGUUGAUGAAAGGAAAAUGAGAAUAGCUAGUAAGCAAAAGAAACAGUUAUAGAUGCAAGUAGAACAGAAGGAUCCUACUCAAACCCUGUGAAUAAUGAAGGCAAGUGAGAAGUUUUCUUAAUUAUUAAACUCUUGUUUCCACUCAUUUCUCCAUCUGUCCCACAACAAAGGACUUUCUUAAGCAAUUCUUAACAUUUUCUUCAUAGAGGUCAGAUGGCACCAUCAGCUGAGUACUUUGAAAUGAAAAAAAGUUUGGCCUUUAUAAUCCUUAAUAUUAGUAUACGUCAUAGCAACUCUAAAAAGUAUAAAAUUUAAAACUCACUAUUGUUUUGUUAAACAAGAAAGAAAAGUUACUGCCAACUAUGUUGUGCCACUGAUCUUUAAAGCAUCUUGAAUUCAGAGAUGUUAGAAUGUGAAAAACAAUGAGUCUUGGAAUAUUUGAUGUAUUGUGACGAACCGGUGUUCCACUGAUGAAAAGAUUCUACCAAGUUCUAUUCUGAAUUUAAAAUACCAAAGAGGAUAAUAUCUCAUACGGGCAAGAAUUGCUUUGUGAGUGUGUAUUAAACUAUUUCAUGUAGUGAAUUGUAAUCAGACUUGAAAAAGAAUGUGCUUAGAACAUAGAUAAUAUGUAAAAUAUACUGGCUGAAACACUAUUUCCCUGGUAUUUUUUUAAAAUUUUGAGAACUGAGAUUAUAGAUUAGAAAAAGGACUGUAGACUAGGAAAAGGAGACAAAUUGCCUAAUCUCAUCUGCCUUGGCCCCAAUUUCUUAUAUUGGCUUUUGAAAAUCAUUUGUUGUCAUUUAUUUUUCAUGGAAAAAGUGUGCUAGAAAUAAGGAGGCGUAUACAAUAGCCAUAGCUAAAUGGACAUGUGACUAGAUAAAUUACUCUCUGCCCUUCAAAUUCUGAGUUGGACCAUGUGCUCUUUAAGAAAGCAUUUUCAAACUCCCACUCUGCAGGUCAUGAUAACCACAUUGGAAACUAAUGGUAUAACAAGAUAUACAAAGGACUAUGUGGCUAUGGUAUACCAAAGGUGAUGCCAUGGUAUAAGGGUGAUGCAGAUUCUUGACAGAUUUGCUGUAAUUCCUUUCAGUUUCACUUAACAAAAAAAUCAC
rnacentral:lncRNA from 1 species